ensembl:misc_RNA Metazoa_SRP Metazoan signal recognition particle RNA
GCCGGGCGCGGUGGCUCAUGCCUGUAAUCCCAGCACUUUGGGAGGCUGAGGUGGGUGGAUCACCUGAGGUCAGGAGUUCAAGACUAGCCUGGCCAACAUGGUGAAACCCCGUCUCUA